AACGAACGCUGGCGGUAUGCUUUACACAUGCAAGUCGAACGAACUGUUUGGUAAGCUUUGCUAUCAACAGUUAGUGGCAAACGGGUGAGUAACGCGUGGGAAUCUGCCCUAUAGUACGGAAUAGCCGUUGGAAACGACGAUUAAAUAACCGUAUAGUCUUCCCAGGUAAGAAAGACUUGUCGCUAUAGGAUGAGCCCACGUUAGAUUAGUUUGUUGGUAGGGUAAUGGCCUACCAAGACUACGAUCUAUAGCUGGUUUGAGAGGAUGAUCAGCCACACUGGAACUGAGAUACGGUCCAGACUUCUACGGAAGGCAGCAGUGAGGGAAUAUUGGACAAUGGGCGAAAGCCUGAUCCAGCAAUACCGCGUGAGUGAUGAAGGCUUUAGGGUUGUAAAAACUCUUUUCAGUAGGGAUGAUAAUGACGGUACCUACAGAAAGAAGCACCGGCUAACUCCGUGCCAGCCGCCGCGGUAAU
rnacentral:rRNA from 1 species